CAGCUCUUGUGCAGAAAAAGGGCUCAACAACACAAUGAAAACGACGACGACCGCCGGCAUAAGCUCAUGAAGUACAGAGAGUCAUCUGCUCGGUCUAGAGCAAGAAAACUGGCUUACAGAAAGGAGUUGGAACAUGAAGCUGCUCGAUUAAAGGAAGAAAAUGCCAAGCUUAGAAAACAUCAGGUGAAGUUGUUGUCGGCAGCGCCGAAUCAGUUUCCAAAAAGGAACAGUCUAAGGAGAACCUUAACAGCUCCAUUUUGAGAAGCAAAGAA